GGUAGAGUACAGCUCAGUGGAAGAGUGUGUGCUUAGCAUGCAUGAGGUCCUGGGGUCAAUCCCCAGUAUUGCCU
rnacentral:tRNA from 1 species